GAUGAACGCUGGCGGCGUGCCUAAUACAUGCAAGUCGAGCGGACGGACGAGAAGCUUGCUUGUCUGAUGUUAGCGGCGGACGGGUGUGUAACGCGUGGAUCACCUACCUGUCAUACUGAGAUAACUUCGGGAAACCGUAGAUAAUACGGGAUAAGAUUUUGAUCCGUAUGGUGCAAAAGUGAAAUUCGGUCUUGGUGGCACUAAUCGAUGGUUACGCGCUGCUUGAGAUGGUUGGUACGGUAACGGCUUUCGAGGGCUACGAGGCAUAGCCGAACGGCGAGGCUGAUCGGCCACCCUGGAACGGAGACACGGUCCAGACUCCUACGGGAGGGCCCAGUAGGGAAUCGUCCGCAAUGGGCGGAAGCCUUACGGAGCGACGCGGCGUCAGUGAUGAAAGUCCUCCGAUCGUAAAACCCUGUUAUGAGGGAAAAACAUAUGUGUAAGUAAAUGAGCACAUCUUGACGGUACCUAAUAAGGAAGCAACGGCUAACUACGUG
rnacentral:rRNA from 1 species